GGAAGCUUCGCCUAGUGGCCGAGGGCGGCAGUCUUGAAAACUGCUGAGGUGUCAUAGCCUCCGUGGGUUCGAAUCCCACAGCUUCCG
rnacentral:tRNA from 1 species